AGAAAUAUGUCUGAUAAAAUGAGUUACUUUGAUAGAGUAAAUUAUAGAGGUUUAAAUCCUCUUAUUUCUA
rnacentral:tRNA from 1 species